GUCGGCGUGGCUCAGCGGUAGAGUGCACGUGGUGUAUUAAUGAUGUCCUGGGUUUAAUCCCCAGGUCGCCG